rnacentral:antisense_RNA from 1 species
AUCAGGGUCACGCUUGCAGGGCAACGAGAGGCAAAACAAGAGGGAAGACGACUUUCCUCCUGUGAGCCAAUGAGGCCAGCUGGGCUACCCCGAGACAACUGGGAGAGGCGCGGGACUCGCCCGUUCCGCGGAACGCCGGGAAGGGGUCACCUCCUGAUGAAGUUUCCGGUUCCGGUGUCAGCGGCGGUUGAAUUGCCAUGGCAACGCGGUGGGCGCGCGCUUGUCGUGUUGGUCUCUUGGGAGGUAGCGGGGCUAGGCCGGGCGGGUAUCCGCCUCUCCCAGCUUAGGUGAGCGUCCCCGGGCGCCUCCGGAGCGCCGCGGCCGCAUGCAGUUCGUCGUGGCGGGGAGCCGGAGCCUGACCGGGGUUCCAACGCUCGGGCCGUAGCCUUGGCUCCUGGACUUUCCCUGGCUCCGCCGCCACGUGGGGAGCUGAGGCUCUGGGGCUUCCGCCUCCGGCGCGCGAUUAUUUCUCUAGAACAGUUUUCAUUUUUAAAAUUUGUAAAGCGCUUUUGCCUGUGUGAUUUCCUCUGGGUUUUUUUUUUCUUCCUUUUUGUAGAGACGGAAUUGGCGGCGGGGGGCGGUGGGUGGGUGGGGGCGAUGUCUCACUUUGUUGCCCAGGCUGGUCUCGAACUCCUGGCUUCAAGGGAUCCUCCUGCCUCGGCCUCUUAAAGUGCUGGGAUUACAGGCGUGAGCCACCACCCCCGGCCGCCUCUGAGUUUCCAGCCUCGUUGGCCCUCCAGCCUUUUAACCUGUUGAGCCUAGGAUCAGGAAAGAUUCAUUGAUUCCAGGUAAAUCAGAGGAACAAGCAACAUGAACAGAAAUAUGUAGAAAAUGCUAUUAUGCAGAAGCAUAAUUGUUGUUUCAGAAGUCCAGCAUCUGGUGCACUUAGCAAUAGAGAAUAUAUUAAAGUCUUUCCAAAAUAACCUGUUGUUCCUACCUGUGUUGUAAGUGUUUUGUUUGUUUUUAAGUAAAUAUUGGUGAUUUGUUGCCAAAAACCUAAACUGUUUAUUGCUGUCAACUUAAAUAACGAACAGAGAGAGGCUCUCUCAAAGAAAAUGGCAUUUAUUCAGGAAUAGAGCAUUGCAAUGAGAAAAUGCAUGUGAUAGUUAACUGUGUGUAUCCUGGGAGAUAGAGGAAGACAAAGGUCUUUAAAGGAAAAAUGAGGAGGGUUACAUAAUUGUUUUGAGAUAAUUAUUUUUGACUACAAGGAUCAGUAACAAAGGUGACACCAGUCCCAGGUUGGACAGGCAGGUGCUCGGCAGGCAUUGCAGAAGUAUUUUUUGUGUAAGAUUGAGAUGGCCUUUGUGCAGGAUUGUGGUUUUGGAAUCUUCUGUGAUCGUUUUUGCUAUCAGGCAUUUAUGCUUGCGAACUCUUUAUGGCCUUCCCUGUGUCUAUUUUGAUUCCAUCUUUCUCAUUGCCCACUCUAAACUGUCUAAUUCUGCUUUUAUGUUGACUGAGAUCGGGAGAAGAAUUUGCAAACUUAUAUCCUGAGACAGAACAGUAAUAAGGAGUAUCGUGUUCCUUACCUAAUGUAUAAUAU